rnacentral:rRNA from 1 species
UACGUAGGGGGCAAGCGUUGUCCGGAUUUAUUGGGCGUAAAGCGCGUGUAGGCGGCCAUACAGGUCCGUUGUGAAAACUCGAGGCUUAACCUCGAGACGUCGAUGGAAACCGUAUGGCUAGAGUCCGGAAGAGGAGAGUGGAAUUCCUAGUGUAGCGGUGAAAUGCGCAGAUAUCAGGAAGAACACCCGUGGCGAAGGCGGCUCUCUGGGACGGUACUGACGCUGAGACGCGAAAGCGUGGGGAGCGAACAGG